rnacentral:misc_RNA from 1 species
AACAAGGUCUCCGUUGGUGAACCAGCGGAGGGAUCAUUACCGAGUUUACAACUCCCAAACCCCUGUGAACAUACCUAUACGUUGCCUCGGCGGAUCAGCCCGCGCCCCGUAAAACGGGACGGCCCGCCCGAGGACCCCUAAACUCUGUUUUUAGUGGAACUUCUGAGUAAAACAAACAAAUAAAUCAAAACUUUCAACAACGGAUCUCUUGGUUCUGGCAUCGAUGAAGAACGCAGCAAAAUGCGAUAAGUAAUGUGAAUUGCAGAAUUCAGUGAAUCAUCGAAUCUUUGAACGCACAUUGCGCCCGCCAGUAUUCUGGCGGGCAUGCCUGUUCGAGCGUCAUUUCAACCCUCAAGCUCAGCUUGGUGUUGGGACUCGCGGUAACCCGCGUUCCCCAAAUCGAUUGGCGGUCACGUCGAGCUUCCAUAGCGUAGUAAUCAUACACCUCGUUACUGGUAAUCGUCGCGGCCACGCCGUUAAACCCCAACUUCUGAAUGUUGACCUCGGAUCAGGUAGGAAUACCCGCUGAACUUAAGCAUAUCAAUAAGCGGAGGAAAAGAAACCAACAGGGAUUGCCCUAGUAACGGCGAGUGAAGCGGCAACAGCUCAAAUUUGAAAUCUGGCUCUCGGGCCCGAGUUGUAAUUUGUAGAGGAUGCUUUUGAUGCGGUGCCUUCCGAG